UUAUGUUUUAGGUUCUUAUUUUGAUUAUUAGAAGGUUUGUUUUUAGUAGUUUGAGCGAAAAUAAUUUGUUUCCUAGAGAGGAUGGAGUACUGAGAAGGAAAGUUUAAUUAUUUAUUUGGAAUAUUAGGUUUUUUAGUACCUUUUGUAUUAGGGUUGAUUUAUGUAGUUUUGCUUUAGUUAUUUCUCGAUGAGUGUCGGGCUAUUUUUCUUUGGUUUAUUCUCGUUGUAUAGAGUUGAAUAGGGGAUUAUAGGUAUGAAAUAUUAUUCAAGUUGCUUUUUAUCUAGUUCUUUAAGAAAUUUAAUAGUCGGUAAUGUUAUUAUGACGAUAAACAGGGAUUAGCUUGUUUAUUUUUUAUAUUGGGUUGAGGUUGAGGUUUGUUUAUUAAGUUGAUAGUGCUUAUUUUAAUGGAGUUAUUAUUGAGCAGGCUGAUUUUAUUAUUUUUUGUUUUUAUUUUUGUAUUAAGGUUGUGUUAUGGAUUUUUGAUGGUUUGUAAUAAUGAUUAUAUUAGUAAUAAUUUUUGUUUAAUUUCUAUUGUGGUAUUUUAUGAUUUUUAAGUUGAUUAGGCGGUAUUUGAAAUUAGAAUUGAUGAAUUAGGCAACACUAACCUCUGACUGUUUAGCAAAGACAUUGUUUUUUGUUGUGAUAAAAAAUAAGUUCUGUCCACUGCUAUUAGGUGAAGGGCUGCAGUAUUUUGACUGUAUGAAGGUAGCAUAAUCAUUAGCUUCUUAAUUAGAAGCUGGUAUGAAGGUGAAACAGGGGUUGGCUGUAUUUUUUCUAUAUGUUGAAUUUUAUUUUUGUGUGAAAAAUCGCGAUUGAAUUAAUGGGACAAGAAGACCCUAAUAAGUUUUAUUUUUUUUCUUAAUGCGUGCAUAGGUUUGAAUUUGUGCAAUUUAUUUGGGGGGAGUUUGGCUGGGGCGGCAGUUUAUUUGACAUAGAUUAAUUUUUAACUUUGUGUGACGUUUAAUUGGACCUAGUUUGUUUAGAUUAGUGUAAAACUACUGUAGGGAUAACAGCGUGAUUUUUUUUGAGAGUUCUAAUUGACAAUAAAGUUUGCGACCUCGAUG
rnacentral:rRNA from 1 species